rnacentral:rRNA from 1 species
GACGAACGCUGGCGGCGUGCUUAACACAUGCAAGUCGAACGGUGAAGCGCCUUCCUUUUUGGUGGGUGUGGAUGAGUGGCGAACGGGUGAGUAACACGUGAGUAACCUGCCCCCUUCUUCUGGAUAACCGCAUGAAAGUGUGGCCAAUACGGGAUAUUCUGGGUCUGUCGCAUGAUGGGUCUGGGAAAGAUAUUGUUUCGGUGGGGGAUGGGCUCGCGGCCUAUCAGCUUGUUGGUGGGGUGAUGGCCUACCAAGGCGGUGACGGGUAGCCGGCCUGAGAGGGUGGACGGUCACACUGGGACUGAGACACGGCCCAGACUCCUACGGGAGGCAGCAGUGGGGAAUAUUGCACAAUGGGCGCAAGCCUGAUGCAGCGACGCCGCGUGAGAGAUGGAGGCCUUCGGGUUGUGAACCUCUUUCGCCAGUGAAGCAGGCCUGCCUCGUUUGUGGGUGGGUUGACGGUAGCUGGAUAAGAAGCGCCGGCUAACUACGUG